rnacentral:misc_RNA from 1 species
GAUGAAGAACGCAGCGAAAUGCGAUACGUAAUGUGAAUUGCAGAAUUCAGUGAAUCAUCGAAUCUUUGAACGCAUAUUGCGCUCUUUGGUAUUCCGAAGAGCAUGCUUGUUUGAGUAUCAGUAAACACCUCAAAGCUUUUGGAUUUUUUAAUCGAAAAGCUUUGGACUUGAGCAAUCCCAACACCAAUCUUUUUGAGAUCGGUGGCGGGUUGCUUGAAAUGCAGGUGCAGCUGGACAUUCUCCUGAGCUAAAAGCAUAUCUAUUUAGUCCUCGUCAAACAGGAUUAUUACUUUUGCUGCAGCUAACAUAAAGGAUAAUUGUCCUCUUUGCUGACUGAUGCAGGAUUUUACGACACUUUAUGUGUUGUUCAACUCGAUCUCAAAUCAAGUAAGACUACCCGCUGAACUUAAGCAUAUCAAUAAGCGGAGGA